GACGAACGCUGGCGGCGUGCCUAAUACAUGCAAGUCGAACGAAACUUUCUUACACCGAAUGCUUGCGUUCACCGUAAGAAGUUGAGUGGCGGACGGGUGAGUAACACGUGGGUAACCUGCCUGAAAGAAGGGGAUAACACUUGGAAACAAGUGCUAAUACCGUAUAUCUCUAAGGAUCGCAUGAUCCUUAGAUGAAAGAUGGUUCUGCUAUCGCUUUUAGAUGGACCCGCGGCGUAUUAACUAGUUGGUGGGGUAACGGCCUACCAAGGUGAUGAUACGUAGCCGAACUGAGAGGUUGAUCGGCCACAUUGGGACUGAGACACGGCCCAAACUCCUACGGGAGGCAGCAGUAGGGAAUCUUCCACAAUGGACGCAAGUCUGAUGGAGCAACGCCGCGUGAGUGAAGAAGGUCUCUCGGAUCGUAAAACCCUGUUGUUAGAGAAGAACACGAGUGAGAGUAACUGUUCAUUCGAUGACGGAUCUAACCAGCAAGUC
rnacentral:rRNA from 2 species